GGCGCACGGUGGCUUAGUGGUUAGCAUGUUCUUCUCACACCUCCAAGGUCGGGGGUUCGAUUCCCACCGUGGCCC